AUUGAACGCUGGCGGCAUGCUUUACACAUGCAAGUCGAACGGUAACAGGCCGCAAGGUGCUGACGAGUGGCGAACGGGUGAGUAAUGCAUCGGAACGUGCCCAGUCGUGGGGGAUAACGCAGCGAAAGCUGCGCUAAUACCGCAUACGAUCUAUGGAUGAAAGCGGGGGACCGUAAGGCCUCGCGCGAUUGGAGCGGCCGAUGUCAGAUUAGGUAGUUGGUGGGGUAAAGGCUCACCAAGCCAACGAUCUGUAGCUGGUCUGAGAGGACGACCAGCCACACUGGGACUGAGACACGGCCCAGACUCCUACGGGAGGCAGCAGUGGGGAAUAUUGCGCAAUGGGCGAAAGCCUGACGCAGCGACGCCGCGUGGGUGAUGAAGGCC
rnacentral:rRNA from 1 species